rnacentral:rRNA from 1 species
AGCGAAGCACAGAUUGACGGUACUCUAUGAAUAAGAGGUUGCUAACUCCGUGCCAACAGCAGCGGUAAUACGGAGACCUCGAGCGUUAUCCGGAUUUAUUGGGCGUAAAGGGUGUGUAGGCGGGUAUGAUAGUCAGGUGUUAAAUCACGGAGCUCAACUCCGUGGCUGCAUUUGAAACGUCAUAUCUGGAGACAGGUAGAGGCUAGCGGAACUCAUGGUGUACCAUUGAAAUGCGUUGAUAUCAUGGGGAACACCAAAGGCGAAGGCAGCUAACUGGGCCUUGUCUGACGCUAAUACACGAAAGCUAGGGUAGCGAAGUGGAUUAGAUACCCCAGUAGUCC